CCUACGGGUGGCAGCAGUGAGGAAUAUUGGUCAAUGGGCGGAAGCCUGAACCAGCCAAGUCGCGUGAGGGAAUAAGGCCCUACGGGUCGUAAACCUCUUUUGCCGGGGAGCAAGGGCGGGGACGUGUCCCGGCCCGGAGAGUACCCGGAGACAAAGCAUCGGCUAACUCCGUGCCAGCAGCCGCGGUAAUACGGAGGAUGCGAGCGUUAUCCGGAUUGAUUGGGUUUAAAGGGUGCGUAGGCGGGCUUUUAAGUCAGCGGUAAAAAUUCGGGGCUCAACCCCAGCCGGCCGUUGAAACUGGGGGCCUGUAGUGGGCGAGAGGACGGCGGAAUGCGUGGUGUAGCGGUGAAAUGCAUAGAUAUCAUACAGAACACCGAUUGCGAAGGCAGCUUACCAAACUAUAUCUGACGUUGAGGCACGAAAGCGUGGGUAGCAAACAGGAUUAGAUACCCUGGUAGUC
rnacentral:rRNA from 1 species